rnacentral:ncRNA from 2 species
CCGACCGAGGGGCGCUGCAGCAGGUUCGCUCCUGUCAGGCUCGGUCGGGGCGUUGUCCGCAGGCAGCCUUGCGGACUCUCAACGCACAACGGCGCCCAUUCGCA